rnacentral:tRNA from 1 species
AGCUUUAUAGUUUAUUUAAAAUAUUAAAUUGCAAAUUUAAAGAUAAAUCACUAUUUUAAAGCUU